rnacentral:sRNA from 1 species
GCUGGGAAUGGUGGCGCACGCCUGUAAUCCCAACAACUCGGGAGGCUGAGGCAGGAGGAUCGCAAGUUCAAAGCCAGAUUCAGCAGUGUAGCAAGGCCCUAUGCAAUUUAGAAGCCCCCUGUCUCAA